rnacentral:rRNA from 1 species
AUACGUAGGUGGCAAGCGUUGUCCGGAUUUACUGGGCGUAAAGGGAGCGUAGGCGGACUUUUAAGUGAGAUGUGAAAUACCCGGGCUUAACCUGGGUGCUGCAUUUCAAACUGGAAGUCUAGAGUGCAGGAGAGGAGAGUGGAAUUCCUAGUGUAGCGGUGAAAUGCGUAGAGAUUAGGAAGAACACCAGUGGCGAAGGCGACUCUCUGGACUGUAACUGACGCUGAGGCUCGAAAGCGGUGGGGAGAC